GGGGGUGUAAAGGUUUCGACGAAGGUAAAUGAGAUAUAGGUUGCAUGUCGAGGUCUCCGCAGGCCUCGUUAAAUAGGCGGAACACUUAUAAAUGCUGAUGAAGAAUUAGCAUUAGCUGCUUAAUACGCAGCUACGCUUUGCCGACCUGUUGCCCGUCAGGGAAGCAAAAGCGUCGCAAUACGGGCUAGCCGCUCGUCCUUUCUCAAGGGGCGUGCCCGCGAACCAUCUUUUGAGAUAGUCUAUUAUGAAUCCUGCAUAGGGGAGUCUGAUAGGCGAACCUUAAAACCUGUGAUAAGCAUGUAGUAGCCUCUAUUGAAAUACCUUCGGACGCGGGUUCGAUUCCCGCCACCUCCAUUU
rnacentral:tmRNA from 1 species